rnacentral:rRNA from 1 species
GCAGUCGAACGCAUGCCUUCGGGUGUGAGUGGCAGACGGGUGAGUAACGCGUGGGAAUCUACCUCUUGCUACGGGAUAGCUCCGGGAAACUGGAAUUAAUACCGUAUGUGCCCUUCGGGGGAAAGAUUCAUCGGCAAGGGAUGAGCCCGCGUUGGAUUAGCUAGUUGGUGGGGUAAAGGCCUACCAAGGCGACGAUCCAUAGCUGCUCUGAGAGGAUGAUCAGCCACAUUGGGACUGAGACACGGCCCAAACUCCUACGGGAGGCAGCAGUGGGGAAUAUUGGACAAUGGGCGCAAGCCUGAUCCAGCCAUGCCGCGUGAGUGAUGAAGGUCUUAGGAUUGUAAAGCUCUUUCACCGGGGACGAUAAUGACGGUACCCGGAGAAGAAGCGCCGGCUAACUUCGUGCCAGCAGCCGCGGUAAUACGAAGGGGGCUAGCGUUGUUCGGAAUUACUGGGCGUAAAGCGCACGUAGGCGGAUAUUUAAGUCAGGGGUGAAAUCCCGGGGCUCAACCCCGGAACUGCCUUUGAUACUGGAGUAUCUUGAGUGUGGUAGAGGUGAGUGGAAUUGCGAGUGUAGAGGUGAAAUUCGUAGAUAUUCGCAGGAACACCAGUGGCGAAGGCGGCUCACUGGACCACAAC